rnacentral:lncRNA from 1 species
GACAGGAAACAUCAGCACUGGCUGGGAGCGGUGACUCAUGCCUGUAAUCCUGGCACUUUGGGAGGCCAAGGCAGGCAGAUUGCAUGAGUCCCAGAGUUCGUGAUCAGCCUCGGCAACACAGUGAAACCCUGUCUCUAUGAAAAGAAGAAAGAAGAAAAAAAGAAAAGAAGAAGAAGGAGGAGGAGGAGGAGAAGAAGAAGGAAAAGAAAUCACAUUUCUUCACCCAUGUAAUUGGCAAGAACUUAAAUCUCUAAUAAUAUCCAGUGAUGGGAACGGGGGAAACAGAGCUCCCAAGAUGGCGACGGG